UACGGGGGGGGCAAGCGUUGUUCGGAAUUACUGGGCGUAAAGGGCGCGUAGGCGGCCUUCUAAGUCAGACGUGAAAUCCCUCGGCUCAACCGAGGAACUGCGUCUGAUACUGGAAGGCUUGAAUCCGGGAGGGGGAUGUGGAAUUCCAGGUGUAGCGGUGAAAUGCGUAGAUAUCUGGAGGAACACCGGUGGCGAAGGCGGCAUCCUGGACCGGUAUUGACGCUGAGGCGCGAAAGCUAGGGGAGCAAACGGG
rnacentral:rRNA from 1 species